UGACACAGGACCUUGUCUGAACAUAAUGAUUUUAAAAUUUGAGCUUAAAUGACACUCUGAAAUCUAGUCAAUGUGCCUCAGUAGACUUUACAGAGAACAUUAUUUUCAAUAGAAAAUUUUGGCUUACUGUGCAAACUUUGAAUACUUAGAAAUGGCAGGUGUAGCAGUAUACUUUGCCAGUUCCUUAGACAUCCUUUUUUUUUAAAAAUGUUUAUACAUAUUCUGAGCUCAUUAUUUUUUCCCUUUUUUUAAAACAUAUAUGCUGUUGAAAGCAAAAAAGGAAGCUCAUCCUUAGAUCCCAGAAGGUACAUGCAUAUGCUGAGAGGAAGCAAGGACAUGUAAACGGGAGACUACUACUUCUUGGAUCACACAUUGGAUGACAGAGAUGUUUAAGUGAUGAUGUCCAGGAAAAUGGGGAACUAAUAUUUAUGGAAAAUAUAUUAUGAAAUACAGUGAGUAUGGUAAGUGUCUUCAAAUGGACACCAUUGGUGUUUGAGGACAAUUUUUUAGUUUUUCUUUAGUUGUCUGCAAUGAUCAAUGGGUAUAGAGCCUAUCACACAGUAGAUGUUUAAGAAAUGUCAGAAUUACUAUUUUUUUUAAUUUUAGGAUGCAAGUUUUUAGAUUCAUUAUAGUUCCUUCCAUAUAGUGUAAUGUCUGUGAUUAUAAUCCAUGCCUAUCUAAUAUGUAUCUCCAUAUCUUACCAGGGAAGUAGUUAGUUUUUCCUAAAUAGGAGCCAGUCAAAACUGUUUGCUGUGUCUUGGGUCUUGUUUUAGUGAAGCUAGGUACCUUGGCAUAAAGUUUACCUUUCAGUCAUUUUUGGUUAAAAAAAAAAAGGAAAAGGUUAAAAAAAUUCUGUUUGAUUUUACAGGGGUAAGAAGAUCUCUUUCUUAGUGAGAUGAUGAAGGCCCAAUAGGAGAGCAAUAUUUGAAAUCCAUUUCCAAGGAUAUGUUUGUUCUGUAUGUGAAUGUUGAUUUACAGCUUCAGGUGUUAAUGCAGCAAGUCCAUCUCCGCCAAAAGUGAGUAGGCUGUAUAGGCUGUAUAGGACAGCUACAGUAUACUUCAUUCAACUUCUCAAAUGAUAGAUGAAGAGACCUCAAGGGACUUUUUCCUUAUACUAAAAGGCAUGUGGCAUUUUGGCCCUGGUAUCCUCUGGUGACAGGAAUGUAGACUGAAAGAAACAGUUCCACUAGUUUGUUCUGCAUUCCGUUUCACCUCAGUUUGUCUCUGGAAUCCAUGUUGCUAACAUCAUGUAUUUGUUGUUGUUGUUGUUGUUGUUUAUAAUUUAUUGUCAAGUUAGCUAACAUACAGUGUAUACAGUGUAGUCUUGGCUUCAGGAGUAGAUUCUUGUGAUUCAUCACUUGCAUACAACACCCAGUGCUCAUUCUAACAAGUGCCCUCCUCAAUGCCCAUUACCCAUUUUCCCCAGCCUCCCAAGCCCCCAUCCUCAUCAACCCUCAGUUUGUCCUCUGUGUUUAAGAGUCUCUUAUGGUUUGCUUUUUGCCUAUAAUUUAGGAAGCUCUAAUGUGGAAUUGAAAUGGUUAGUAGAAGACUUGACUGGGUUAAUUUUCUUUGGUGAGCAAGAUUAAUCUUAAAAAGUAGACGAGGCAGCCAAGACUCAAGAAAAAGCCACUUAGAUCAACCAGAUGUUUGAUUUUGAAUUAUUUUUGGUAGAUUUACAUCUGGUGACGAUAAUACAAUGAGCUAGAGGGAUUAGAUAUUUGUACAUCUGAAUUCAUUGGGCUAUCUGUUCCCAUGUUACAUAAAAUGUAUUUGUACUAUUUACAGAAUUUUUCCCCCUUUUUAAAUUUUUAUUUUAAUUCCAGUUAACAUAUAGGAUAAUAUUAGAUUCUGGUAUACAAUGUUGUGAUACAGCAUUUCCAUACAUCACUAAGGUCUCACAAAUGCAGUCCUGAAUUCUCCUCACCUGUUUAACCUAUACUCCUUCCCGCCUCCCCUGUGCUGUGAUAGCAGAAAUAAAGUUAAAAAGUACAGUUUUUGAUAUUAGUAAUUUUAUUGUCUAUUAGGAAACCUAUAUCAGGAAAAGCAGUGUCUGCUCUAUUCUUUCCAUGAUAUAAUUUUGAUUAUAUUACCAUACCAAUUUCGUUUGUUGUAUCCAAGAUCUUAGAGCUCCUUCAGAAUCAUCAGUGCCGUGUAGACUUUUUACUGGAGUCUGUGUUUCAUCAGUUUGAUCUGUCUUAAUUUUAUUUGACCAUUUACAUUGAUUCUUACUUGACUCGAAAAUUUUGAGUUAAUAUUUUGAGACUCAAUGUGGUCUAGGUCCUUAAAAUAUUUGAAUAUUUCAUUUUUCAGUUUGGAUGAUAUGCUUGUAGAAGUGGAUCAUAAGCUAUUUAGUUCUAAGACAGCAAAGAUCGUGAUAUAAUUCUGGCACAUUCUUGGGGUUUUAUUGUCUUUAGUUUUUCUCCAUAUUUUCACCUUAAUUCUGUGUCAGUUGAAUUAUAUUGCUAUUAUUUAACUUACAUUGUUACAUAAAGAUGAUCAUCAUUCUCCUAAGCUAAAAGAUAAUUGCAUUAUUAGAGAUGUACUGUCUGAAGGUAUUAAUCCUUUUACAGAGUUGUAGUAGUUGUUGGGAAAGACCUUGACUGGAUUUAUGAUGAGUUAUGUUUACUGAGUAUGAUGAAGUGAAACUCAGUGUGAGUACUCUGAAGUCCAGCCUAAGUGUCAACCCAAAUACUUAGGACAUAAAUAUUCUGAAAAUAAGUUCUUGCACUGUAAAUUUUGCAAGAUAUUUUGAGCAAUAUUGUGCAUAUUAGGAAGAAUGGAACUGUAAGUUUUUCCAGUGAACUAAAGAGAGGUGGAUUCUAAAUUCCACUACUGCAGUUUUCUUUUGUAGAGUUAUCUUCUGUGUUUGUAGCAUUUGUAUAUCUCACCUUCGUCUUUUUCAUUAUGAGUUUCAAGUGAUGAAUUUAAGAGAGUAAAAACUUGGUAGCUACUAUGCUUUUUUCUUUAUAUUACAUACUACUAUAAUCAUUUAGUUCCAACCUCAUACCUGUUUCCUGAGAGCAUGUCCCUAAGCUAUGAGGCAGCUCCAAGUACAAUAUGAAUAAGAAAUUGCUAGUUUGUUGUUGAGAUACCGAUUUGGUCUAAAAUAAGACUUGUGUUUUCAGCAGAAUGCUAAAGAUACAUUGAGAUGAAUUACUUUAUUUUUGUGUGUGUGCACACUUUAUUUUCUUAAUUUAUUUUUUAAUUUACAUCCAAGUUAGCAUAUAGUGCAACAAUGAUUUCAGGAGUAGAUUAUUUAAUGCCCCUUACCCAUUUAACCUAUCCCUCCUCUCAGAAUCCCUCCAGCAACCCUCUGUUUGUUCUUUAAGAGUCUCUUAUGUUUUGUCCCCUUCCCUGUAUUUAUAUAAUUUUUGCUUCCCUUCCCAUCUGUUUUGUAUCUUAAAUUCAUCAUAUGAGUGAAGUCAUGUGACAAUUGUCUUUCUCUAAUUUUGCUUAGCGUGAUACCCUCUAGUUCCAUCCACGUAGUUGCAAAUGGCAAGAUUUCAUUCUUUUUGAUUGCCGAGUAAUACUCCAUUGUGUGUAUAUGUGUGUAUACACACACACACACACACACACACACACACACACAUCUUUAUCCAUUCAUCUGUUGAUGGACAUUUGGGCUCUUUCCAUACUUGGCUGUUGUUAGUGGCACUGCUAUAAACAUUGGGGUGUAUGUGACCCUUCGAAACAGCACACCUGUAUCCCUUGGAUAAACAUCUAUAGUGCAGUUGCUGUGUUGUAGGGUAGUUCUAUUUUUAAUUUUUUGAGGCACCUUCAUACUGUUUUCCAGAGUGGCUGCACCAAUUUGCAUUCCCACCAGCAGUGCAAAAGAGAUCCUCCUUUUCCCCAUCCUCGCCAACAUCUGUUGUUGCCUGAGCUGUUGAAGUUAGCCAUUUUGACAGGUGUAAGGUGGUAUCUCAUCGUGGUUUUGAUUUGUAUUUCCCUGAUGAUGAGUGAUGUGGAGCAUUUUUUCAUGUGUCGGUUGGCCAUCUGGAUGUCUUCUUUGGAGAAGUGUCUAUUCAUGUCUUUUGCCCAUUUCUUCACUGGAUUAUUUGUUUUUUGGGUGUUGAGUUUCAUAAGUUCUUUAUAGAUUUUGGAUACUAAUCCUCUAUCUAAUAUGUCAUUUGCAAAUAUCUUGUCCUAUUCCAUCGGUUGCUUUCAGUUUUGCUAAUUGUUUCCAGAUGGAUUACUUUAGUUGUCUUAAUAAAUUAAUGACCUUUCUGUAUCUUGGCAAGACAUAGAUGGGGAUUUAGAAGUUUUGACUCUUUGUGAUUUAAGGGGAUGAAAUUGACAUUUUGCAGUUGUUGAUACUGAGCCCUAGAGAUGAUAUGCUAAUAAGUACCAUGCAUUUUUUUUACCUGAAUUUUUGAAUCAGGUCUUUAAUCUUACAUUUUUCUUUAAUAUUUAUCUUGUAUAAGUAAUGGACUUUUUGUUACCAUGAUUGUUAUCGUGAUUGGUAUUCCAUGAUUAGGUCCUUGUGACUUGCUGAUAGUAGUUAUUAUAAGGGAGUUGAGUAGUAAUUAAACAGGUAAUUUAGGAAAAACCUUUAUAAAGAUGUACCAUUGAUAGUUGAAUAUAUCAAGAUAUUAUCCUUAGUCACUUAAUUUGUUAAGGUGUGUGUGUGUGUGUGUGUGUGUGUGUGUGUGUAUGUAUGUGCGUGUGUGUGUGUGGUCUGUGUGUAUAGAUAAUGUGGGUGUUGAUACUGUGAGAAGUGAUAGUUAAUAGUGAAAAGCUGUUGGGGUUCAGAAAAAUUACAAUUUUCUUUAAGAAGAAUGGUGAACAAGUCUUUUCUAAGGUCUUUCCUUUAUCAAGUCCCUGUUUCCCUGCCAUAAAUUUUAGUAUGUUUAUAAACCUCAUACUUGUUUGACUUAAUGUUCCUGAUCCUGUCCAGUAGGGAUAUGCUGGAUGGAUUGAGAGAAAUGAGUUACCCUUUCUAGUAACUGAAUUUGAUUAAAAGCAUACAUUUGAAUGAGGAAGGAAGGGAAUACUCAUUGGAGUCUGUUGAAGAGUAGUGUUGACUAAAGGUCAUUUGAUUUUGGAUGUUUGGUACAACCUAUGGUAGUCAGUUAUUACUGGGAGAAAGCAAGCAGUGGUAGUUGCUGGCUCAGCCCUUUCCAAAUAGUCCCAUUCUCGUGGUGCUGUUUCUUUAUAGGUGAUUGAAAGAAAAUCCCCUAUAAUUGGAAUCCCUAGAAGAUGAUCAGGAUUUAUUUUUGUUUUGGAGGGGGUAAGUUGGCUUUAUGGUCAGACUCCUUGUUUCUUGAAUCUGAUGAUAGUGUUCAUUCCUACAAAGGGAUUCUGAGGUUAAGUCUAGCUGAUUUAUGUAUGGUUGGAGCACUUUGGUGAGAUUAAUAGAAGGAAUGAAUUAGCAAUAGAUGGUGAGAGCAUUGGUGGAAGAAAGGAAGAUAAGAAGGAAAAAUACAUGGUUUCAGUGAUUGUAACAUGUCCGUAGUGUUGUAUAAGUGUGAAGGAUACCUGUAAAUGGAAAACAGUGUUUGGAUUCUUUCAGUUGCUGGCAAGAGGAAAGCUGCCCUCUUUGAAUAUUGGACCAGUGGGGGUUGGUUAGGAAUCAGAAUUACUAACAUUUACCUGCUACUUUGUCAUUAAUAGCAGUGUAUGAGUUUCAGCCAGCUUUGCCAUGUUAGAUUCUCUGUGUCUUUUCUUGAGAUGAAUAGGCAGUAUUGUGUCUUAUGUUGAAAUUACUGUGAUUAGCAAGAUGUGCUGAUCAAAUAUGGUCAUUAUGCAGUUAUUGGAAUAGGUAGAGUUGUAUAUUUCUAGACGGUCUAGAUUAAAUCAGACUUUCUCCAACUUCAGUACACAUGAGAAUCACCUGGAGGGCCUGUACAGUUUGUGUAAGAGUUUCUGGUUCAGCGUAGGUCAAGGUCUGAGAAGUUGACAUAUGCUGAUAAGAAACAACUGAGUUUUAUUCAGACAACAAAUUGCCAGUAUACAUUUAAAUUAUGUACUUAAUUUGAGGAAGUAAAUUUCUUUUUGAUAAUGAAUCAAGUACAAAAAUAUUCACCAAGUUCACAUUGGAUAAAAAUGACCAAUAAACAAAAAUUUACAGAGAGCCAUUAAUGUUUAAAAAAACAUUUUAAAAGUAGAUGUGAUCUCUGAAUAGUGUGUUGAUUUUCUGGACCUCAUAACUUCUGCCUAAUACUUUUACUUUUGUGGGAAGAUUUAUCUGGUUUAUGUUCUGUUGGUCACAGAACUGCAUAACUUGAAUUAUUUGCAUUAUAGGCAUAUGUUUGUGUUUGUGUGUUUAGACUUUAUUUUUAAGUAAUCUCUACACAGCAAAGAACUCAACCUUACAACCCUGAAAUCAAGAGUUGCACACUCUACCAACUGAGCGAGCUAGGCGCCCUAGUUUGGUUUUAUUUUAAGCAUCCACUUCUGUAUCAUUUUAAGUAGGCCAGAAACUGCCACUACCUGUGAACUUCUGGGUGUUGAGUUUGGGGUUGAGUCUGUUUUCUGGGGAAAUUUCAGUAAAUAUAUUAUAGCUUAUCUGUGAAUACUUUGGCAGCUGUAUUUGGUUAUUGAUACCUGCUUUUUAUAAUGGGGCUUAUUUAUGGGAAUAGUGUUAAUAACGGACUGUCUGUGUUUACUUAUAAACAUCGAAAAGUAGCCAGGGAUUUCUCCAAGCUUGAAAAUGCUGAAGAAUAUAGAUAUAGGUCAAAUCAGAGUCAUUCCCCCAUGAUAUAGCAAAUAAAGAACUGAGAAUUGGAAUGAGAGGACUUUUUUUCCUGUGGCUUGGAGUGAAGAAGAAAUUACAUAAGAUAUUUUAAAAUUGUGACAUGAUUUCUGAAAAUAAGUUAUUGCAGUGAAAUUGGUUUUCUUAUUUUUGAAUAAGAAUAUUUGGGGAGUUUUUCUUAAUUACAUCUUGUAUAAGGUAUAACCUUCUCUAGUGAGAUUGGAAAAUGGUUUUGUAUUUGAAAUAGAUGGAGUGUUUUUUUCAACUGAGUGAAUGAUGGCCCUAUGUGAUGGCAAAGUAAUAGAAAUAUUUCAUCCCUCAAAGAUUGCUGAAGUCACGGGGAAGAAACAAUGCAUAAAAACCCCGGUUUAACUAAUAAUAUUUUUCUUUGUCUAAGAUUAUAUAUAGCAUGAUUCAUAAACAUGGUUAUAAGAAGGCAUAGUGGACUUAAGUUUCUCAUAUUCUUCCCUUAUAGGGAGAGCAAAGCAUAUUAAUGCUUCACUAGAAAGUCUUGGUGUCCUUACUGUUGUUUCUCCCAAGACCUGGCAUAAUAAUUGGCAUAUGGUAGAAGUUUGGAUAGUUAGUAAUUUUUGUUAUAUUGGUAUAUUGUUAUCAUAGUUAUUUGUUGAAUUAAUGCAUAAAUGAACAAAAGACACGAAAUUUUCCUUUUAUUGUAUAGGCAAAGUGUGGCUUCAGUUUAAAGCUCAAAUUUCUCAUGUUUUAUAAUGGUUUGAGUCACAAAACACUGGCAUUUUUUGUACUACUUUGCUGAGGGUACAAAAUUAUUUAUUUUUUUAUUAAUUUCUUUUAAUGUUUAUUUAUUUUUGAGAGAGACAGAGACAGAACGUGAGUGGGUUAGGGGCAGAGAGAGAGGGAGACACAGAAUCUGAAGCAGGCUCCAGGCUCUGAGCUGUCAGCACAGAGCCCAACGGGGGACUCGAACUCAUGAGCUGUGAGAUCAUGACCUGAGCCAAAGUCGGGCACUCAACCGACUGAGCCACCCAGGUGCCCCCACAAAAUUAUCUUAAACUCAACUUGAUUUUCUGUUAAUUAGAGAGUGCCAAAUUUUUUGGGGGGGCAUGGAGGAAAGAAAAAAUGUAUUCCUUAAGGUUGUCUACUUUUUUAUUGGAUACUUAGACCUGUUUCAGUAUAGCGCACAGGAGAAUAAAUCUUCUAUGUUUAAAUUUUUCAAAAAGGACAUUUUCAGUUGAACUUACAUUUGUGCAAAUUUCUUAGAAAUCAAGAGAACAUUGUUGAGGAGUAUAUGACCGUUUACUUGUCAGUAUAUAACAGAGUACUUGGCCAGAUAAAAAUGUGAAAAUGUAUCAUUAUUUUGGUUGGCAAAAUAUAUUGGCUAUUUAUUCUCUUGGUUUUAGUAAUGUACACAAACAUCUUCUACAACCCUGUAAAAGAAAAGACUUGGAACACUUGUAUUCAAAAUGACAAAACAUGUACAGAUAAUUCAAAGAAGAAAAUACUGGCAAGUAAGCAUGUGAAAUGUCUCCGAAUCAUUCAUAAACACCCUUUAAAAAUCAUUGUAUGAUCAUUUGAAUCAAUUUUACAUAGAUGUAAAAAGGUGAUGCCAACUAGGUGAGAAAGUGGGUGUCAUUCGUGGACAUAAAUGGAACCCAAGAAACAUGGACAAGGAUUUCAUCCAGAAACUUAGAAAAUUUAUUGGACAAUAGACAACUGUUCAAGCUCCAUUAGAUAGCAGUUCUGAAGCUACCUUUCUAGAUGACUUUUGUUGUUGUAAUUGUCGUAUUUUAACUGUAUUAAAGCUUCUAACUGAUCCCCUUACUUCUAGCUUCAGAUUCUCUGUUUCAUCUGUCUGCCAGAGCAGUAUUUGGGAAAGAUAUGAUAAACCAAGUCACAUUUCUUCAAAAAUCUGCAUUUGGCAUGUUUUUAAGAGUAUUAGAAAUAAGCAAUAAUCAGAGAAGAGGACAAAGAUUAUAUAAACUGAUAACAGAGGAUCUUUUGCCACUGUCAAAACUGGAAAUUUGCCACUUUUAGUCACUGAACAUUUGGAUUCCUAAAUUUUGUGCCCUAAGACUCCCCUGAUAUGAAUCGUACGAAAUUUGUGCAGCAAGAAACAAUGAGAUUAUAAUCCAAGAUGAUUUAGGAUACUGUGCAAACGUUUUUGCCACUGACGUGAACAGGAGAGUAUAUCCUGAGAGCCUCUGCAUUGAUCAGAUUGUAGUUUUCAAAUUUUUCUGGAGUAUCCUGAGCAAUUAUACUUAUGGACUGCUAUGAAGCCUAAACAUCAGGCUGAUUCAAGGGAUCUUUGACCAGGACCUUCCUGUAGAGACACUCCCUAGAUCUUGUAUUCUAUAUUUAUUUCAUGGUCCAACAUGAUUAGCACAGCAUCUCUAAUUCCAAAUUAGUCCCCAGAAUGCAAAUGUAUGAAGUUAUCUACUGAAUUGAAAUAAUUUCAAGUGAAUGGCACUUGUAGUAUUGGUUUAGAAUGGACAAUCUCAAGUAAAUAUAAGACAGCAUUCUAGGAAUAUAUGGAAUGAAAGGGAAGGACAACACAUCCCAACUUGAGCUAGAAGCUUCACCAACUACAAAAUCACAGAGAAAAUAGAGAUAUAUACUGUCCUGAAAUUCAUCUUGCUUUUCAAAAAUUUUAUUUCAUUGGCAAUCUUUGGAUUUGGUAAAAAUCUCAGUAUUUUUUUCUACGAAUUACCAAUUUACCAUAAAAAUAUUUAAUAGUAAGAGCCUUGUAUACGUGACUUUAAUACAUACAUGAUAAACACAAAUAUUUUUUUUUCACCUCACACACCAUUUUAGGAAUAUAAACUUAUUAACUAAUUACUGGACAUAUAGAGCUUAAGAAUAAAUGCUUAAGAAAAUUGUGAUUGGGUAAUGGUAUUGAAAUCAAUAUAAAAUACUCAGUGAAGGAUGAAUAUGUAUGAACUGUUCAUUGGAUGUUAGUGAAAAGAAUGAAAUUCAACAUGUAAUAGUUUAUUGUAUUUUAUUCUUUCUUUGCUUAAUCUUUCUUGUACUCUGAUGCUCAAGCACAGAGACUACAGUUAUAAACAAAUCUAUUGUUUUUAAAAAUGGUUGCUGUGAUAAUAGAGCUGGUUUCCUAGGUGAGUUUUUAAAAACAUGUUUGGUAAAACUACCUUCUGGAAAAGAUUUUAGAAAGGAAUGAGGCCAUUUUGUAAAGAUACACACAAUGCUAUAUUCAUUGUUUGAAUGUUUAUGGAUAAGGGGAGAGGAAAUGGACAUGAGGAAUGUUUAAUAUAUUAAUCAGGAAAAAAGUAAGGCACUAGUUAUUAAUGUUUAUUUUGAGAAUAUACUGUAUGAAAUAACUAAAUAUAAUUGCAUUGUGACUUUAAGGUAUUGUGAUUGUUAAGUUUGCUAACAUUUAGAAGAAAUUUUUAAUACAUGAUUAUAAAAAUAGAACUGUUAGAACCUUUGAAUGAUACACAUUUAGAAUCAUUUGAUUGAAUGAUUUUUGAGUGGCUUUUGGUGCGGGGCAAGGAUUGUUCUGUUGUAUGCAGCUGUUUUAUUAAGGCUGUUCUGUGUGGUUGUAGAUGUUAUUCUGUAAAUAUUUGUUAAUAUCUUUAUGGUAUGUUAAUGUUUCUGUGGUAUGAGAUUUAAUUCCCAUGAUGGAAUUACUGCAUAAGAGUCCAGCUUCUAUGCAUGUUUAGGAUUUGAUGGGCUUUUUUAUUGCUAUGUAUGUAAUGGAAAAAGUACUGUGUUAAACCAUCCUAUUAAUCAUGGAGAUGACUGAUAUUUGGGGCAUUUUAAAUGUUAGAAUAUAAUUUUGGUUGUCAAGAGGAGUUUUUAGACUGCCUUAUUUGUAGUAGGCAAAUAAAAGCAGAAUUUAGAAGGUAGAGAACAGGGAAUUUUGGAGGGCUAUACGUAUAUGCAUAUGUGCAGAAACAGUUCUUGAACAGCCUAGAGGCUUUACUCGAUGCUCAGAAGUUGGGAAUCAACAUAUAUUUUAUUAAUCCUGUGAUGUUAAAUAGGUGUAGUUUGUUGUUGUUUUUUUCCAAUAGAAUUGUUAAAUUGCCUCAACAUUAAUUCCUUUUCAGUAAGAUUAUACUUUUUUUUAAAGUGUUAUAUACAAUGUAAUGUUCUUUGCCAUCUAAUUCUCUACCUACAUAGACAUCACUGUAAAUACAUAUCAACUUAUAUGGAUAGACAUUUUUGUUUGACAAAAAUGAUAUUAUAUCUUGCCUCUGUGUUCAUUGGAUUAUUAGGCUCAAAUUGUAGGGUGGAAUAAAUGUGCAGUGUCUAGUAUAAUAUCUCACAUUGUUUUUUAUAGAAGAUUCAUCAUAGUGGAAAUGUCAUUUUAACUGUGGGUCUGCCUUUGUUUAUGGUUUUUAGAUAUGUUUGUAUGCAAAUAGGAAAUACAAUUACUAGAAAAAUCUCUACAUGUGGUUAAACAUAAUAGGUUAGAAAAGUUUUCAUUUGCCAGUGUAAUUUGACUUUUAAUAAUUGAAUUGUUCUUGCUUUAAAAUACUACAUAAAAUAGUAUAGGUGAUUUACAAGUUUGUAUUAGAGAUGUUUGUAAUGGUCUGUCAAAUCUAUGUUCUUAAAAGGAUGGGCUGAUCAAAGAAAAGUUUUAUAUAAUGUGUAUAAUUAGACACAGUUAUUAUGUUUUCUUAAAGCCGAGGAAUAAUUAUAUCAGCAUGUUUUGUAAAUAUGUAGAAUGAAAAAUUUGCAUAACAGCUGUCAGAUUAUGUCUGAGUAAAUAAUUGAGCAGCUGAGGUUCAGGAUAUUUUGUUAGAGUGUUCUGUGUGUAAAACAGGAUAAAAUAAUUUUUACUUUAAACUUUUAAUCCUUAAUUUUACAGGGGUUGCAUUCAUAUACAUAUGUAUAUAUACACCCACAGGUGUAUUGUAUAUGUAUAUAUAAGACAACUGUUUAUUAAAAAUUAUACAAUAGGAACACCUUUUGGCCAAAUAAUUAUCACUCGGCUUUAAUCUGUUCUUUGUGUUGUUUGAUGGUGGAUAAUACAGGGUGUUGUUCAUGAGCCGUAGUUGCUGGAGGAUACUGUUAAAUGGCUAGUUAAGUUAUAGACCGGCGUUAGUUUUUGUUUUAGAAUAUUUGCAUAGGAUUUGCUGAUAGGUGCGUAUAUUUUCUGGAUAUCAAUUUGAGAGACAAUGUGAAAAAACACUUCACUUUGACAAAUUGACUUACUACACCAUGUCUAUUUGGGAUGUAUUUGGUGAUAGGGAUUAUAUUAUUUUGUUUUGCGUAUAGGAGGUAAGUGUCAUUUUAUGUCAUUUUUAGAUAUAUAAUUUCUGUCAGUAAUUUUGUAAAUAUAUUUUUAUUGAAAUAUUAAAGGUAGAAUCAUUGAUUAUAGAUAUAGUAGAGCAUCUUCAAGUAUUAGGUUUUAUUUUGAUGUUUUUUCUUUCUGUAUUCUUUAUUUCAGUUCUUUAUUUAAGUUUAUUUAAAUUCCAGUUAACAUACAGUGUAAUAUUAGUUUCAAGUGCACAAUUUAGGAUUCAGCUAUUCCAUACAACACCCAGUGCUCAUCACACAUGCAUUCCUUUAAUUCCCAUCACCUAUUUAACUCCUCCCCCACCUACCUCCCCUCUGGUAACCCUCAGCUUGUUCUAUAUUGUUAGGAGUCUGUUUCUUGGUUUGCCUCUCUCUCUGUGGCUUUGAGAUUUUUUAGUUAGACAUUCAUUGUUAAAGUACAGAAAUUAUUGCCAUUCAUAUUUUAAAUAUGAAAUGAGUAAUUUCUUAUACUAAACUUUUUGUAUGCUUGUAGACAUGAAAUAGUAAAAUAAGUCUCUGCUGUUAUGAUUUAUAGACUGCUGUGUAUGUAGUUAUUGAUAAAAUACUUAUUUCUAGAUAUACAGACAUUGCUGAUAAACAUGUUUAAAUAUCAAACUUAUAAAAAUCAAUAUAAUUAGUUUCUCUGCAUGUUCAGUGGUUUGUUGUAAGAGAAUGGAUGGGGUGGUGGAUGUUUUCCAUUCUCAUCAGUAAUGUAAGAUUCUUUGGCUUUGAAUCUAUUUUUGGUUUAUAGAGAUAGUGAACAUCAUGUAUGUUACAGUCAUGCUGUUGGUAAACUCUAGGUUUGACAUAUCUCCGAAUUAUUUUAAGAAUUUCUUAUGGAUGGCACUUUGUGGUUUGUUGUUAAACACUGGUAUUUAUAAUAGUUAUAGCAUUUGACUUAGGAAGUAUAUAGAAAUGUUGGUAAACAAAAUGAUAGAAGGUAGAAACCGUUUUCUUUUGAGGACGUUGUUCACCUUUGUGUAGGAUUCCAUGGAAUGCUGGGAUUAUUAAAGACAAUUUAUUUGAAAAUUGGGUUAAAAGCUUCUGAGCCUUAUUUUUGUUAUGUUUGUGUGUGCACACACAUGUAUAUAGUCAGGAAAGAGGGUGGUUGAAAGUUCAUUGCCUCACAUAUUUCAUUUAGAAGAAAAAUUAGACUUCAAUAGUUAAAUUGUGCCCAUUUUAUAUAAAAAUAUUUCUACUUAUUAAGGGACAUGAGAUAUAUCUUAUUUUCUCAGAUGUACUGAGGUUCUUGAUGAAAUUCAUUUUACUAAAGAAAAUUUUACAGAAUCUAAAUUACACAGUUCUGUGUUCAUUUGUUACACAGCAGUAAGACAACUUUGGAAAUAAUAGGCAAGUGAAACAUUUGGUUUUAAACAUCUAAUAUUUCCAGAUGUAUUCAUAGUGUUACAGUAUAAUUUUAUAAACAUUUUCAUUGUAAAUGUGUUAGGACUAUUGUCUUUUAAAGUUGUCAUGGCAAGGAAAUUGAUCACUGAUAAAUAGGGUCUUGGAGCUAUGCAAUCUUUAUCAUACACUCAUUUUGUUGUUGAGAGAAAUAGAAAAGAUUAUGCAUUUAACCCAUUCUCAUAGUAGAAUAGUAUGCCAUUGUAUAAGUAUAAACUGUAUAUUAAAAAACAUACACCAUGUAAAUUCAUUUGAUGUUACAAGGUGUAUUGUAAUGUAUUUCAUUUGGAGCUUCCCUAGUAUAUGUACCUUACAUUAUUCUUGUGUUAAGAUAUUUUUUAGAGCAGAUCUAGAUCGGUUCAUAGCAAAAUUGAGGGGAACGUACAGAGAUUUGCCAUCUAGCUCCUGCCCCAGCACAUGCGCAAUCUCCAUCAUUAUUCACACAGCACAUGCAUAAUCAGUCCCAUUAUCAUCAUACCUUACCAGAGUUACUUACCAUUUAUUCCUGCUGAUGAAUUUACAUCAAUACCUCAUAAUUACCCAAAGUCCAUAGUUUUUCAUGGUUAACUCUUGGUAUUGUACAUUUUGUCGGUUUGGACAAAUGUAUUAUGACAUGUAUCCAUCAUGGUAUUAUGCAGAAUGUUUUCAUUGUCCUAAAAAUCCUCUGUGCUUCACCUAUUCAUAUCUUCCCCGUAUUUAUUUUUAUUGUUAACAUUGGAGAUAUAAAUGACUUUGUUAAAGGGAUUUUAUACUACCUCUUGGAACUAUACACAAUUCUGUAUGUGUUCCUUUGGUUGCAUGACAAUAUUCAAGACAACUUUGUAAAUAAUAGAUACAAGUUUUUAGUUUUUAACAUCUAGUCUUUUCUAGAUGUGUAGAGUCUCACAACGUAUAAUUUUGUAAAUAAUUCAUUGUAAACUUUCAUAGUUUCAUUGUUAUCAAGUGCUUUAAUAGCAGUGCAGUUGAUAACAAUUUUCUUGAUAACAAGUUUCUUCAGCUAUUGCCUAUUUUGGUAUCGGAAGGAGAAAGUUACUAAAAGUGUACU
rnacentral:lncRNA from 1 species